rnacentral:rRNA from 1 species
UUAUCAAAGAUUUAUUGCUUUGAGAUGGACCCGCGGCGCAUUAGCUAGUUGGUAAGGUAACGGCUUACCAAGGCAACGAUGCGUAGCCGACCUGAGAGGGUGAUCGGCCACAUUGGAACUGAGACACGGUCCAGACUCCUACGGGAGGCAGCAGUGGGGAAUAUUGCGCAAUGGGGGAAACCCUGACGCAGCAACGCCGCGUGGGUGAUGAAGGUCUUCGGAUUGUAAAGCCCUGUUUUCUAGGACGAUAAUGACGGUACUAGAGGAGGAAGCCACGGCUAACUACGUGCCAGCAGCCGCGGUAAUACGUAGGUGGCGAGCGUUGUCCGGAUUUACUGGGCGUAAAGGGUGCGUAGGCGGAUGUUUAAGUGGGAUGUGAAAUCCCCGGGCUUAACCUGGGGGCUGCAUUCCAAACUGGAUAUCUAGAGUGCAGGAGAGGAAAGCGGAAUUCCUAGUGUAGCGGUGAAAUGCGUAGAGAUUAGGAAGAACACCAGUGGCGAAGGCGGCUUUCUGGACUGUAACUGACGCUGAGGCACGAAAGCGUGGGUAGCAAACAGGAUUAGAUACCCUGGUAGUCCACGCCGUAAACGAUGGAUACUAGGUGUAGGGGGUAUCAACUCCCCCUGUGCCGCAGUUAACACAAUAAGUAUCCCGCCUGGGGAGUACGGUCGCAAGAUUAAAACUCAAAGGAAUUGACGGGGGCCCGCACAAGCAGCGGAGCAUGUGGUUUAAUUCGAAGCAACGCGAAGAACCUUACCUGGACUUGACAUCCCUUGCAUAGCCUAGAGAUAGGUGAAGCCCUUCGGGGCAAGGAGACAGGUGGUGCAUGGUUGUCGUCAGCUCGUGUCGUGAGAUGUUAGGUUAAGUCCUGCAACGAGCGCAACCCUUGUUAUUAGUUGCUACCAUUAAGUUGAGCACUCUAAUGAGACUGCCUGGGUAACCAGGAGGAAGGUGGGGAUGACGUCAAAUCAUCAUGCCCCUUAUGUCCAGGGCUACACACGUGCUACAAUGGUAGGUACAAUAAGACGCAAGACCGUGAGGUGGAGCAAAACUUAUAAAACCUAUCUCAGUUCGGAUUGUAGGCUGCAACUCGCCUACAUGAAGCUGGAGUUGCUAGUAAUCGCGAAUCAGAAUGUCGCGGUGAAUACGUUCCCGGGCCUUGUACACACCGCCCGUCACACCAUGAGAGCUGGUAACACCCGAAGUCCGUGAGGUAACCGUAAGGAACCAGCGGCCGAAGGUGGGAUUAGUGAUUGGGGUGAAGUCGUAACAAGGUAGCCGUAGGAGAACCUGCGGCUG